UAAUAAUUCUUGAGAUGUCUUUCCCCUA
rnacentral:piRNA from 1 species